rnacentral:rRNA from 1 species
UGGGGAAUAUUCCACAAUGGGCGCAAGCCUGAUGCAGCCAUGCCGCGUGUAUGAAGAAGGCCUUCGGGUUGUAAAGUACUUUCAGCGGGGAGGAAGGGAGUAAAGUUAAUACCUUUGCUCAUUGACGUUUCCCGCAGAAGAAGCACCGGCUAUCUCCGUGCCAGCAGCCGCGGUAAUACGGAGGGUGCAAGCGUUAAUCGGAAUUACUGGGCGUGAAGCGCACGCAGGCGGUCUGUCAAGUCGGAUGUGAAAUCCCCGGGCUCAACCUGGUAACUGCAUCUGAUACUGGCAGACUGGAGUAACGAAGAGGGGGGUAGAAGUCCAGGAGUAGCGGUGAAAUGCGUGGAGAUCUGGAGGAAUACCGGUGGCGAAGGCGGCCCCCUGGACGAAGACUGACGCUCAGGUGCGAAAGAAUGGGGAGCAAACAGG